AUACCUUUCUCGGCCUUUUGGCUAAGAUCAAGUGUAGUAUCUGUUCUUAUCAGUUUAAUAUCUGAUAUGUGAGUCAUCGACUCACACGAUAUUAACUCUAUUUUUUAAAGGGAGAGUCCAUUAAGGUAGCUUGCUAUCUGGCUUCUCAAGCGUCGCCCAUGCGUUGCACUGCUGCACGGGCCUGGCGCAUCCCAC
rnacentral:snRNA from 1 species